UCCUUGUCCAGGGCCCUCCCUGCUUCCUUGGCCAGCAGAGGGAAGCUCCCAUUCUCAUCUUUCUUGAAUUAUUCACUGAUGGUUGAUCUCUCUCCCCUGAGCCUCAGGCUCUGGGCAAAUGACUGUAGCUCUUCCAAAGGGGGAGCUCCAGACUAGCAUAAACAAACAACUCAUCCUAAAACUCUCUACUCAGAGCUGCCAUCCUGCUAUGUACAGUCUCCAAGUCUCCAUGUUAUCGGAUCAAAGACCUGAACACUCACAAUAGAUAGUAUGGCUUCACUGAAGAACUAAAAAUAGGAAGAAAAUCCUCCUUUAAGGGUCUGCUGCUAAUUUUGCUACCUUUUUCAAGAUGUUUCUAGUCUGGCACCCACUCCAAGAAGCUUCCAGUGAUGAUGGCUCUCCCCUGCAGCUGAAGCGAGGAAGAAAAAAUAACCAGCACAGAGCUCUAAAGAUGCACAUCUUCAAGUGCCAACAAAAAUGCCUCUUGCAAGAAUACCCUGUUCAAUGAA